AACAGGUAAACAUGAGUUCAGCCAUGGCCAUCGAGAGGAUGUGUUACGCUCAGGUGAUCCCAACACGGGACAGACAGGAGGGCAUGGCUGCUUUCAUAGAGAAGAGACCCCCACGAUACACUGGAGAGUGAACACACAAACACACACACACACACACACGCACAGAGCUCACAUUAAUGUGAGCACAUGUUGAAGGUCAGAGUGUUGAGGAGGAAGUGUUAUUGAUCGAAGAGCUGUAACGCCAUUUUUGAACUGAUUCUGAUUGUUUAUUUUCACAUGAAUUUGAUGUUUGUAAUAAAAGUUCACUGACACACGUUGUCUCCACUUUA